UACGUAGGGUGCGAGCGUUAAUCGGAAUUACUGGGCGUAAAGCGUGCGCAGGCGGUUUUGCAAGCCGGAUGUGAAAUCCCCGGGCUCAACCUGGGAAUGGCAUUCGGGACUGCAAGGCUGGAGCGCGGCAGAGGAGACUGGAAUUCCUGGUGUAGCAGUGAAAUGCGUAGAUAUCAGGAGGAAUACCGAUGGCGAAGGCAGGUCUCUGGGCCUUACCUGAUGCUGAGGAGCGAAAGCGUGGGGAGCGAACAGG
rnacentral:rRNA from 1 species